rnacentral:rRNA from 1 species
UACGAAGGGGGCUAGCGUUGUUCGGAAUUACUGGGCGUAAAGGGCGCGUAGGCGGCCCGAUCAGUCAGAUGUGAAAGCCCCGGGCUCAACCUGGGAACUGCAUUUGAUACUGUCGGGCUUGAGUUCCGGAGAGGAUGGUGGAAUUCCCAGUGUAGAGGUGAAAUUCGUAGAUAUUGGGAAGAACACCGGUGGCGAAGGCGGCGACCUGGGCCAAUAUUGACGCUGAGGUGCGAAAGCGUGGGGAGCAAACAGG